rnacentral:misc_RNA from 1 species
UUUCCGUAGGUGAACCUGCGGAAGGAUCAUUAAAGAACGCCCCGUUCUUUGAAAUGGGUAAUUCUAAACCGUGUAUACAUACCUUUGUUGCUUUGGCAGGCCGCCCCUCAGGGCGUCGGCUCCGGCUGACUGCGCCUGCCAGAGGACCCAAACUCUGUUGUUUAGUGAUGUCUGAGUACUAUAUAAUAGUUCAAACUUUCAACAACGGAUCUCUUGGUUCUG